GAUGAACGCUGGCGGUAUGCUUUAUACAUGCAAGUCGUACGAGAGUUUUUAACUCAAGUGGCGGACGGGUGAGUAACACGUAAGAAUUUGCCUUUAGGAGGGGGGAUAACAACUGGAAACGGUUGCUAAUACCCCAUAUGCUUUCGAGUGAAAUGGAUUUCCGCCUAAAGAGAAGCUUGCGUCUGAUUAGCUUGUUGGUAAGGUAAUGGCUUACCAAGGCGACGAUCAGUAUCUGGUUUGAGAGGACGAUCAGACACACUGGAACUGAGACACGGUCCAGACUCCUACGGGAGGCAGCAGUAGGGAAUUUUCCGCAAUGGGCGAAAGCCUGACGGAGCAAUACCGCGUGAGGGAUGAAUGCCUAUGGGUUGUAAACCUCUUUUUC
rnacentral:rRNA from 1 species